CCCUUAGAUGCUCUGGGCCGCACGCGCGCUACACUGGUCGAUGCAACGAGUUUCUUUCCUUGGCCGACAGGCCUGGGCAAUCUUUGAACAUCGAUCGUGAUCGGGAUAGAUUCUUGUAAUUUUUGAUCUUAAACGAGGAAUUCCUAGUAAACGCAAGUCAUCAGCUUGCAUUGAUUACGUCCCUGCCCUUUGUACACACCGCCCGUCGCACCUACCGAUUGAAUGGUCCGGUGAAAUCUCCGGACUGGCGUGAGUCGGAGCAAUCUGACAAACGCCGGAAAGUUGAUUAAACCUUCCCAUUUAGAGGAAGGUGAAGUCGUAACA
rnacentral:rRNA from 1 species